UACGGAGGGUGCAAGCGUUAUCCGGAUUCACUGGGUUUAAAGGGUUCGUAGGUGGGUUGGUAAGUCAGUGGUGAAAUCUCCAGGCUUAACUUGGAAACUGCCAUUGAUACUAUCAAUCUUGAAUACCGUGGAGGUCAGCGGAAUAUGUCAUGUAGCGGUGAAAUGCUUAGAUAUGACAUAGAACACCAAUUGCGAAGGCAGCUGGCUACACGAAUAUUGACACUGAUGCACGAAAGCGUGGGGAUCAAACAGG
rnacentral:rRNA from 1 species